rnacentral:lncRNA from 1 species
UCACUCCCAUUUCCAAAUAACCAGGUGCCAGAUCUGUGCUGUCUGCAUCCUCAUGACCUUUUUGAACUGUUCCCCUGCUACUGUCCUUACGUGAAGCUCUUAACUCCCUGUUUUGGAUUAUCCUAAGAACUCACUAUUCUCCCUGCCUGCCUCCACCCUGAGUACCAGCUGCCAUCAGAAGAUGGGUCAGAAGUAUCAGUCAUCAGCAUCAGGUACAGAAACCUUCCAUGCUUCGUUCUCAGCUUGCUGCAUUCUCCUCUUUUCUCCACUCUUUCCUGGCUGUGAGAAUUGUCCUCUUCAAGGCUGACUUUUAAUGCUGCCUAUUUUAUGAAGGUUCCCCAUGCUCCAGAAAGAACUGUUGAAAUCUCUAAGGUCCAUUUCCAAAAUCAUAGCAUCAACAUACUUUGCUGUGAACCUUGACUCAUGAAGUUUAAAUUUGUGUACAAAUGUAUUUAAGAUCAAUAGCUGCUCUUUUCUCUCCCUAACUCCCCACCAGUCCUCCUACUCCAAAGUAACUAAUGUUAAUGUCAUAGAAGGUAUCCAUCACAUUCGUACUGAGGUGC